GCAACCCAAAUUAGGAAAAGGUCGGUGGUUGUAUUUGAUAAGGGUUUAUUAAACGUGUGAAUUUCGGAUCCCGCGGAAGGAACGCAGUUGUACAUAAAACGGGUACAGUCACCAGCAACAGGUCUGGCUUGACCAGUUUAAGGCUUUCAUUCUGGUAUGUGUAUUUGAGGUACAGCCCACCCAAACCAGAAUGGUUUGAUGGAUGAAUCCAGACCACUGUAUAAGGGUAUCCAAUUGGUAGUUACAGUCUUGUCUCGUCGCUGCAACUCCCAUACGAACUCGGGAGAGGCGCAGGUCGAGAGCCGCGCGUCCUUCCAGUCAAGAUGCACUGCUUCUUGACACAACGCCCGCUUAACUGGGAAGUCAGCCGCACCAAUGUAUCGGAGGAAACACAGUACACCUGGCGACCGUGUCAGCGUGCAUUGUGCCCAGCCCGCCACAGGAGUCGCUAAUGGGAAAAAAGCAUCCCUGCUGGUCAAACGCUCCACUAACCCAGAAGACCCUGGGCCAAUUGUGCGCCGCCCCAUGGGUCUCCCGGUCGUGACAGAGCCUGGACUCGAACCAGGAGCUCUAGUGGCACAGCUAGCACUGUGAUUCAGUGCCUUCGACCACUGCACCACUCGGGAAGCCACCCAAACAGAGCUUCUGGACAUCAGAACAGAGAUUACUCACCUCGAACUGGAUGAAGAUUCUUUCUUUAAUGAGUCUGACGCGAAAGUUAUACUGCUUUCCCGAGACCAGGCCCAAAUCCCCGUCAUUCGCGUGAAGAAAAGACUGAGUUACCGGGGGCGGAGGUCGGGGUGCCUUGUGAGAAUUCAUUGGCAAGUGGGUAAACCACCACUACCUUCCGUCCUAUUGGCCAACGUUUUCACUGGUAAAUAAACUGGAUGAUCUAUGAUCAAGACUAUCCUACCAACGGGACAUUAAAAACUGUAAUAUCUCAUGUUUUACGAGUCAUGGCUGAGCGACGACAUGGAUAAAAUAGAACUGGCUGGGUUUUCCGUGCAUUGGCAGGACAGAGCAGCUACGUCUGGUAAGACGAGGGGCGGGGGUGUACAAGACUAAGACUAAGAUUGAUACAAGACUAAGAUUGAAUCCUAUUACACCGGCUCUGACACUCGUCGGAUGUGGCAGGGCUUGCAAACUAUUACGGACUACAAAGGGAAACCCAGCCGUGAGCUGCCCAGUGACGCGAGCCUACCAGACGAGCUAAAUGGCAAGCAACACUGAAGCAUGCAUGAGAGCACCAGCUGUUCGGGAGGACUGUGUGGUCCCGCUCUCCAUUGCCAUUGUGAGCAAGACCUUUAAACAUCACAAGGCCACAGAGCCAGGUGGAUCUCCAGGACGUGUACUCGGAGCAUGCUUAGACCAACUGGCAAGUGUCUUCACUGACAUUUUCAACUUCUCCCUAAUAAUUCCACCACAUCUACAGUUGAAGUCGGAAGUAGGAAGCUCCCCACAAAAGGUUUGUGAACAUGCCUGCUAUCAAAUACAUUUAAUUCAAUUAUACAGAUGAAGUAGGAAGUUUACAUAAACUUAGGUUGGAGUCAUUAAAACUCAUUUUUCAACCACUCCACAAAUUUCUUGUUAACAAACUAUAGUUUUGGCAAGUGUGGUUAGGACA